rnacentral:rRNA from 1 species
UCUGGUGACUCGUUGGAGGGGCCACACCUGAUCUCAUUCCGAACUCAGAAGUUAAGCCCUCUUAAGGCGAUGGUACAAGCUUUACGCAAGGAGAGUAGCUUGUCGCCGGAA